AUUGAACGCCGGCGGCAUGCUUUACACAUGCAAGUCGAACGGUAACAGGCCGCAAGGUGCUGACGAGUGGCGAACGGGUGAGUAAUGCAUCGGAACGUGCCCAGUCGUGGGGGAUAACGCAGCGAAAGCUGUGCUAAUACCGCAUACGAUCUGUGGAUGAAAGCGGGGGACCUUCGGGCCUCGUGCGAUUGGAGCGGCCGAUGUCAGAUUAGGUAGUUGGUGGGGUAAAGGCUCACCAAGCCGACGAUCUGUAGCUGGUCUGAGAGGACGACCAGCCACACUGGGACUGAGACACGGCCCAGACUCCUACGGGAGGCAGCAGUGGGGAAUUUUGGACAAUGGGCGCAAGCCUGAUCCAGCAAUGCCGCGUGCAGGAAGAAGGCCUUCGGGUUGUAAACUGCUUUUGUACGGAGCGAAAAGGCUCCCUCUAAUACAGGGGGCUCAUGACGGUACCGUAAGAAUAAGCACCGGCUAACUACGUGCCAGCCGCCGCCGUAAUAC
rnacentral:rRNA from 1 species